GAGGCAGCAGUGGGGAAUAUUGCACAAUGGGGGGAACCCUGAUGCAGCCAUGCCGCGUGAAUGAAGAAGGCCUUCGGGUUGUAAAGUUCUUUCGGUGACGAGGAAGGCGAUUGUUUUAAUAGAACAGUCGAUUGACGUUAAUCACAGAAGAAGCACCGGCUAACUCCGUGCCAGCAGCCGCGGUAAUACGGGGGGUGCGAGCGUUAAUCGGAAUAACUGGGCGUAAAGGGCACGCAGGCGGUUGUUUAAGUGAGGUGUGAAAGCCCCGGGCUUAACCUGGGAAUUGCAUUUCAGACUGAACAACUAGAGUACUUUAGGGAGGGGUAGAAUUCCACGUGUAGCGGUGAAAUGCGUAGAGAUGUGGAGGAAUACCGAAGGCGAAGGCAGCCCCUUGGAAAUGUACUGACGCUCAUGUGCGAAAGCGUGGGGAGCAAACAGGAUUAGAUACC
rnacentral:rRNA from 1 species